GGACCCCCAGUUUCCUCGGUGAUGCGUUUCACUCCGGGACCGCUCCCACGACCCCACCCCUGCCCUCGUGACUCCGUAACGUGAGCGCGGGGAGCAGACGCAUCACUUGUCCCCCGAUCGCAGAAAGUUCCCCGCGGCAGGGUUCCCCGAAAAGGAAAACGCCAAACCGGGAGGAGAAGGGAGGGGACGUGGGAUGGAGCGAGCGAGUAGUGGGGGGGGGGAUGGACACAAGAGAAACGAUCCGAUAUUAGAACAUGUCAGGAGGGAGGUAUGUAAGCAAUGGAGGUUUCCAAAACGAACAUUUCUCAGGGAUUUCGGCAACGCCGCCCCGUUUUCCCCGCUCUUUCACCGCGACAGAAACCGCAGACACCCGGACCGUGCUACCGCAGUCACCACUUUCAACUGGACAUGCUCAGCCGUUGCUUUGAGAGAGUGGGAAUCAUCCCUCUUGACGGUUCUGACCACAAGCACCAUGCAUUUAAACACACACUCACACCCAUAUAUAACGCUGAUGACACUCUUGGCAGUCAACGGUGUGGCCGGAUUGUAUGGUUUGGGUGAAAUGCAAUGAAACGUGUGAAACGUUCUUCAUGAUCCACCAUCCACCAUAGGCUAAUAGGGAUGAUUACGGUUAAACCCCAAACCCUGUAAAACAGUAGAUAAGUGGUAACUGUGUCUACUUUUCUCGUGUAAUAUAUGUGGAUACACUAUUCUAUACAGACACAUGCAACUUAACAACACCACAAGUGUGCAUCCCUGUAUCACUCUCACUCUUCAUCUUGGUAGUUUCUCAAUGAGUGAAUAAAGUAAUUGAAAACCUUCAGACACUUUCUGAAAAGUUCAGUCUUGCAAAUUGAUUGAUUAAAUGAUUGAAUGCAAUAGUGGAUGAAACGAAACCCCUUAUUAUCAUGAAUAUUUGGAGAGUUAUCCAAAAAUUGGUAUUGGUGAAUAUUGACUGUGUAAAUGGUUAAUACAUUGAUCUAUUUGUUAGCCCUUUUCUGUUUUCCUAGCAGGGGUUUCAGAUCUGUACAUUUUUGCUCAUUGUAGGAGAGCCCUGAACAACUAGGCUGGCUGUACACGGUGACGCAAUAGCUUUUCAUCAAUAUCCUGGACUCGGCACCAUGUUCCCGCGCACGAGGAAAAGUUACGGCCCUUGAAUGGGCUAAUAAUGGGAUGAGUGUCUCUUCUGUGGAAAGAAAGCGUCUACCGCUCAGACAGGGAAGUGCUCGCAGACAGCGCAAAUUCCUGAGUCCCAUUGGGCAUACGGACCUGCUGUCCGUCAACUCCAAUUUGCUGCAGUGGAACAGGAUUUUUUAAGGCCUGGGAAACAAGGCCGAGCUGCGGCAGCGGGCCGUGUUGUGUUUAGCGCUGGCCCGUUGGAUUGCUGUUUUUCCACAUUCUGCAGGGCACUGCGCAGUAUCACUUCAAACGAAACGUCUUAGGACUGAUUUGGUGCAAAAUGGCCCCAUGCAACGUGCAAUAAGGAAUUUAGCAAUUAGCAAUUAGCACUGAUUUCGGGAGCAAGCAACUCUUGGCAUGUAGCAGAGGGCUGAAACAGCAUGUCAUUCUCUUAAUUCACAUCUGGCGAGAUGUGUAAUAUAGGAAAAACAGAGGUGUAGCACGGCGACGGAAAGACACACAUUUCUUACACACGUGGCAGGGCCUGUUUAAAUAAUCAAAGGUUGCAUGUGCUGAUGUCUGUUGGCAGACACUGGUUACGAAACAUGGCACAGCGACAUGGCCACCUGGGGGGCCGAAAAAUCGUGUGUGUGUUUAUGUGCGUGCAUGCAUGCACCUUCAGCGCGUUCAUUCACUGUAGGAAUGAAAGUAGAAAUGAAAGAAAGCAAACAAAUGAAUGAAAGGUGUCGCAUUUUGGAUGCCUUCUUUUGACAUUGUACACGCGUCACACGCUCUCAUCUGCCAGUGAACUCAAGCAAGGUCGUGUGUGUGAUGUCAUAUUACCCCCCAACUGCCCAUUCUGUCUUUCCUCCGUGUGUGGGGCCCCUUUUCCAGCAGCGGAGAAGAGAUAAGAAGCAUUGGCUCUGCGCUCUCCGAGCCUUUGAACACUUGGCCAACUUCAUUUGUACCCUGUAAGCAGAAUUAAGUUUGACAAUUAACUGUGCUCUCUCAAACGAACUGGCUAUGCGCCACUUAACAUGCACUUCAGGUCCCAGCUGGAUGGAAUUUUCUACUUUCUGAACCCUGCGCCCUAUCAUGUCAAAAGAGCUCUUUGUGGACACGGCAUUACCAGCAUAGAGAAAUGCAUAUGGCAUGCCUCUAUUCCACCGCAGAUCACUGGACAUUCAAUAAAGCAUGUUCUUAUCCAUUUAAAAAUCUGUUAUUAACAAUGACAUGGGUAACACAAUG
ensembl:lncRNA